rnacentral:rRNA from 1 species
GAUGAACGCUGACAGAAUGCUUAACACAUGCAAGUCGAUGGGGAAGUGGUGCUUGCACCAUGGUAACCAUGGCGGACGGGUGAGUAACGCGUAAGGAACUUGCCUGCGGGACCGGGAUAACAGCAGGAAACUGCUGACAAGACCGGAUAAGGUCAUUAAGCUGCAUAGCUUUGUGAUGAAAGGAGACGCCUGCGGAGAGCCUUGCGUCCUAUUAGCUAGUUGGAGGGGUAACGGCCCACCAAGGCGAAGAUAGGUAGCCGGCCUGAGAGGGUGGACGGCCACAAGGGGACUGAGAUACGGCCCUUACUCCUACGGGAGGCAGCAGUGGGGAAUAUUGGACAAUGGGGGCAACCCUGAUCCAGCAAUUCUGUGUGCACGAAGACGGUUUUCGGAUUGUAAAGUGCUUUCAGCAGGGAAGAAGAAAGUGACGGUACCUGCAGAAGAAGCGACGGCUAAAUACGUGCCAGCAGCCGCGGUAAUACGUAUGUCGCGAGCGUUAUCCGGAAUUAUUGGGCAUAAAGGGCAUCUAGGCGGCCUUUCAAGUCAGGGGUGAAAACCUGCGGCUCAACCGCAGGCCUGCCUUUGAAACUGAUAGGCUGGAGUACCGGAGAGGUGGACGGAACUGCACGAGUAGAGGUGAAAUUCGUAGAUAUGUGCAGGUAUGCCGAUGAUGAAGAUAGUUCACUGGACGGUAACUGACGCUGAAGUGCGAAAGCCGGGGGGAGCGAACAGG